UAAGAAGUAUAUGUAUAUGGCUCGGUAUU
rnacentral:piRNA from 1 species